UCUAGCAGCUAUAUCACCCUGCAACUCACUGUGAGCCUGGCCAGUACCUGGAUGGGAGCCCUCCUGGGAAAGCUGAGGUUGCUGCUGGAA
rnacentral:rRNA from 1 species